GCGCCCCGCCCUCGCCGGCCCCGCCCCUGCAGCCGGGCCCCGCAGACCCACCGCGGAACGUGGGCAAAGGCCCGGCGCACAGAGACUGUCACUUUUUAGAUCGUGCAGGCAGAGGUGGGAAAUAAUUCAGUUGCCGUGUUUCCCCCCAGUGCUAUCACUUCGCAAAACAGUAAAAAAGGGGGAAAAGUAUAUUAUAACCAAGAUACUGACUUUGAUACAAUCCACCGAUCUUAAUAAAAUUUCCCCAAAUUACCCCGUC